CAAAAGUCCUGGAACGCUCAAUGUCAAAAUACACCUGACACUGGACUCUUAAAUCCAAUCUGCAGGUGAAGGCAACCCAGGCACCACUCAAGACAGAGGAGAAAAUGCGGGUGUCCGACCUUUUGGCUUUGGCUGAGCCACACUGAGUGAAGAGGAAUUGCCUUGGGCUACCUAUAGAAUAUAUAAUAUAUUAAUAUACGUAAGUAACAAAAUGUCCUUUUUAUUUUAUACUUUAUAACAUUAAAAAAUUGAGGGCUGCUGGCCUCCAGGUGCUGGCUGGGAGACAGAAGGAGGCUUUGGAGCUGCACGCGUGCAGAAAGAGGGGUGAGAAAACAACAGAGAGUAAAGUGUGUGUGUCUGUGUGUGUAAGGGACAAACAGCUACAAUCAGGUAGAUUUGAGGUGGAAACAGAGACAGGAAGCAGGUUCUGAGCACAGCUGAAACUACAUGUAGUCCAAAUUCCACGGCAGCUCCUCGGGAAGUUGCAGUGACCCCUCAAUUUCAACACAGAAGCCCAGCACAGAGGCUUUUCCUCACUGUUGGAGAAGGUCUCCACGGCCUCUGGUAGGAGUCCUGGGAGCCCCCUCCCUCCCUGACCUCGUGUGUCCCCAUGGCGACAGCUGGGGGUGAGCUCAGACUACCCAGGCCCUGGCAGAGAGCUCAGUGUCCUCCUCUGCCCCCUCCUCCCUCCAAGCCAGGCUUCCUUUUCAUCCACACACAGACACUGUCAGGAAGUGGCGAGACCCCCAGUGCCCCUCCCCUGUGAGGCAGUCCCACCCACCCUCCUUCUGGUGAAGUCUGGGAGCCACCGAGGUCCUUAGAGAGAAGAGCUUCCAUGACCCAGAGCCUGGCCUCUGCCAUCCACCCUGUCCUGGCUUUUCCCUUUUCCCUGUGUCAUUCUCCCACUUCACUUCUUUCUGGAACUUCUCCAAAUAAACCAUCCAGGCCAAGCCCCCAGCUCUGCUUCCAAAGCAGAGUGAGAUAGCACCCAUAGCAAUGCUGGACCCACUCGGAUUGAUGCCCCUGACCUGGGGAGUGUGGGUCCGAGUGCCAGCUGCUUCACAGUCCCACUGAGGUGGGCGUAGGUAGUGGCGUGAUGUAGGGAGUACCCCAACUGCAGCCCACUGAGGAGUGUCCCAAGUGCAGAGAAAAUCAGUCUCCCCAGUGGCACACUGGCUUGCAGAUGGCUGUCAUUGUGAGUGCAAUGGAACAUGGCAUCUGAAGUCCUUUAGGGGGUCAAAAUCCUGGCUACACUGCCUGCUUCCCAGGCUCGAAACCUGAAUGAGCCAUCCUUGCCCCCAUGUCACCGGGAGGUAAACUGAGGAAGUACACAUACAGCAUCACCUUGCUAGGCCUCAGAGCACUACACAAAUGUUAAUUAUUAGCAUUUCCAGAGCUCUCACUGGAGAAAAGCAAUGACUUACUGGGUGAAAAAAGUGUUUACAAGUAUUACCAUCCAAUUUCCUCCCUUGGUGUAUUCUUGCUCUAUAACUAAGAAAGGAAGGAAGAGAGACACAGAGAUAGAGAGAGAGAGAGAGAGAGCAAGAACAACGAAGACCAGUGAAGAAAUACCUAGAGCAAAGGUCACCAGCUGGCAUAGGCCAAAUCUGGCUUAUGAGUCCAUCUUUGGUUGACAGAGAACCGGACAUUUAAGUAAUUCCACUGUUUAAACAUUGGGGGAUCUAUUUACACAUCCAGGGGUCUGGUUUCUCCAGAAAAAUAAGGUGAGGAUGUUCUUACCACGGUUGCACCUGGCUGGACCUGAGAGUCACUGGUCCCCAGGGAAAGACACCUGUGCCUCUCCAGCUGCCCAAGCCAGUGUCCUGACUGGUCACUACAGGCAAAUCACUUUGCAACCUUGGCUCUAGAUUUAGAAAUCUGGAUUUAGUCAUAAACUGGGCAUCUUUCAGCAAUUGCUGCUGCUGUGCACUGACCAGCACUAGGGCUGGGGAGGAAAGGGCAUCUGAUAAAAGUGCCCCCCAUGCCUCCCACCUGCCUACGCUUUGUCCCUCAAACUCCACUCCAGGCCCCUCUGACUUCGGGGGGACAAGUGGACUUCAAAGCAGGAGCUCUUCAGUAUUGAAACCGACGUCAUUUUCAGUAGCACCAGCAUAUCCCUGGGCUAUGGAACCAUACUGCAAAAGUCCUUAAUAUCAAGAUGAGGUGAGGUUGGAUCUCCCUGUGGGUCCUGGGGAAACACCCAGUGCCUUUUGUGUCAGUCAGUAUUCACCCUUCCCAAGAUUCCUGCCAAUUCCAAGGCAUUUAAACUCUUGUGUCUCACAGAUGGGCCUGGGGAAGGGGAAGGAGUGUAGCUCUGGAGGGGUAGCAUGAGGUAUUCUUGUGGCGGGCUGCUCUGUAUCUUGUGUUGGUUACACGAAUUUACACGUAUGUGAGAUACACGUGUAUGCACGUGCACACACAUACACACACACACACGAGCUUAGGUUAAAAUGGGGAAAAUCUAAACAAACUUUAUAGAGAUUACACUAACAUUGCCUUCCUGGUUUUAAUGAUCCAUAGUCACAAGAUGUACCCAAAGGGGACAUGCAACCCUCCCUGCACACUUUUUUGUUUGUUUGCACCAUCCUGGAAAUCUAUGGCUAUUUUCAAAACAAAAAGUUGAAUAAUAAAAGCAAACAAAAUUGAGCCUGCUGUACUUCAUUCCUCGUGUGGGUCAUUCUACCCAUCCCGUGAUGCUGUCCAGAGGUACAGUGACUCAAACACACACAUGCGUGCAGACACACACACACACCCCACUCCCCCAAGGCUGCAGCGUGUGCAGACAGUUUAGAGGAGACACGCACACCCGUUCUUUCCUGCAGUGUCGUUAAGCAGCACAGGUGACAGCAUUGCUUGGCUCUCCCCUGUCUGUUCUCUUCCUCCCACGUCCCUGUCCUUUAAAAACAAACACACAAACAACAGAAAGCAAAGCAAAAGGAAAAAAAGAUGAAGUCUCCACUUCCAACUCAGGACGGGUAUUUCUCUCCUUGAGUAUCUGAAGGGAACAGUGGGGGAUGAAGGAAAGACAGACAAAGAGAUACAAAAGCUGAAGCCAGGUGGAGCCUUCUUCCUGAUGGGAGAGAAGGACCGGCAACCACAGCUGUUUAUUUAUAGUGUAGAGAGAAGGG
ensembl:lncRNA